rnacentral:rRNA from 1 species
CCUACGGGAGGCAGCAGUGGGGAAUUUUGGACAAUGGGCGCAAGCCUGAUCCAGCAAUGCCGCGUGCAGGAUGAAGGCCUUCGGGUUGUAAAGUGCUUUUGUACGGAACGAAAAGGCUCUGGCUAAUACCUGGGGCUGAUGACGGUACCGUAAGAAUAAGCACCGGCUAACUACGUGCCAGCAGCCGCGGUAAUACGUAGGGUGCGAGCGUUAAUCGGAAUUACUGGGCGUAAAGCGUGCGCAGGCGGUUUGGUAAGACAGGUGUAAAAUCCCCGGGCUUAACCUGGGAACUGCACUUGUGACUGCAAGGCUGGAGUACGGCAGAGGGGGAGGGAAUUCCGCGUGUAGGAGUAAAAUGCGUAGAUAUGGGGAGGAACACCGAGGGCGAGGGCGGCCCCCGGGGCCUGUACUGACGCUCAGGCACGAAAGCGGGGGGAGCAAACAGGAUUAGAUCCCCGGGUAGU